rnacentral:rRNA from 1 species
GAUGAACGCUGGCGGCGUGCUUAACACAUGCAAGUCGAGCGGAAAGACCCUGCUUUUGUGGGGUGCUUGUUUGCCGAGCGGGUGAGUAUCACGUGUGUAUAAUGCCCUUGACAUUGGGGUAUCUUCUGGAAAAAGGGGCUCUUACAGGAUAGGAGCUUCUGCUGCAUGGGGGGGGUUGGUGAGAUUCGGCGGUUGUGGAUGGAAUCGAGGGUUCUGCGCUUGUUGGGGGAGUAGUGGCUUACCAAGGCUAUGACGGGUAGCCUGCCUGGGAGGGUGGCCGGCCACAUUGGGCCUGCGAUACGGCGCAGACUCCUACGGGCCGCAGAAGGCGGGAAUAUGGCACAAUGGGCGGAAGCCUGAUGCAGCAACGCCGCGUGCGUGAUGACGGCCUUCGAGUUGUAAACCGCUGUCGCCUGUGACGAAGCGUGAGUGACGGUAAUGGGUAAAGAAGCACCGGCUAACUACGUG